rnacentral:rRNA from 1 species
AAAAGAAGAGUGGCGAACGGGUGAGUAACACGUGGGUAACCUGCCCAUCAGAAGGGGAUAACACUUGGAAACAGGUGCUAAUACCGUAUAACAAUCAAAACCGCAUGGUUUUGAUUUGAAAGGCGCUUUCGGGUGUCGCUGAUGGAUGGACCCGCGGUGCAUUAGCUAGUUGGUGAGGUAACGGCUCACCAAGGCCACGAUGCAUAGCCGACCUGAGAGGGUGAUCGGCCACAUUGGGACUGAGACACGGCCCAAACUCCUACGGGAGGCAGCAGUAGGGAAUCUUCGGCAAUGGACGAAAGUCUGACCGAGCAACGCCGCGUGAGUGAAGAAGGUUUUCGGAUCGUAAAACUCUGUUGUUAGAGAAGAACAAGGAUGAGAGUAACUGUUCAUCCCUUGACGGUAUCUAACCAGAAAGCCACGGCUAACUACGUGCCAGCAGCCGCGGUAAUACGUAGGUGGCAAGCGUUGUCCGGAUUUAUUGGGCGUAAAGCGAGCGCAGGCGGUUUCUUAAGUCUGGUGUGAAAGCCCCCGGCUCAACCGGGGAGGGUCAUUGGAAACUGGGAGACUUGAGUGCAGAAGAGGAGAGUGGAAUUCCAUGUGUAGCGGUGAAAUGCGUAGAUAUAUGGAGGAACACCAGUGGCGAAGGCGGCUCUCUGGUCUGUAACUGAC